AACGAGGCCGACCUGCGGCUGAGUUACCUGCGGAGGGAUCAUUACAAGUGACCCCGGUCUAACCACCGGGAUGUUCAUAACCCUUUGUUGUCCGACUCUGUUGCCUCCGGGGCGACCCUACCUUCGGGCGGGGGCUCCGGGUGGACACUUCAAACUCUUGCGUAACUUUGCAGUCUGAGUAAACUUAAUUAAUAAAUUAAAACUUUUAACAAUGGAUCU
rnacentral:misc_RNA from 1 species